rnacentral:rRNA from 1 species
GAUGAACGCUGGCGGCGUGCCUAAUACAUGCAAGUCGAACGCUGAAGGAGGAGCUUGCUCUUCUGGAUGAGUUGCGAACGGGUGAGUAACGCGUAGGUAACCUGCCUGGUAGCGGGGGAUAACUAUUGGAAACGAUAGCUAAUACCGCAUGACAACAGUUAUUGCAUGAUAACUGUUUAAAAGGGGCAACUGCUCCACUACCAGAUGGACCUGCGUUGUAUUAGCUAGUUGGUGAGGUAACGGCUCACCAAGGCGACGAUCCAUAGCCGCCCGGAGAGGGUGAUCGGCCACACUGGGACUGAGACACGGCCCAGACUCCUACGGGAGGCAGCAGUAGGGAAUCUUCGGCAAGGGACGGAAGUCUGACCGAGCAACGCCGCGUGAGGGGAGAAGGUUUUCGGAUCGUAAAGCUCGGUUGUAAGAGAAGAACGAGUGUGAGAGUGGAAAGUUCACACUGUGACGGUAUCUUACCAGAAAGGGACGGCUAACUACGUG